rnacentral:rRNA from 1 species
UACGUAGGGUGCAAGCGUUAAUCGGAAUUACUGGGCGUAAAGGCGUGCGCAGGCGGUGAUGUAAGAACAGAUGUGAAAUCCCCGGGCUCAACCUGGGAACUGCAUUUGUGACUGCAUCGCUGGAGUACGGCAGAGGGGAUGGAAUUCCGCGUGUAGCAGUGAAAUGCGUAGAUAUGCGGAGGAACACCGAUGGCGAAGGCAAU